rnacentral:lncRNA from 1 species
CCCCAAUAUUUAUUUUCGAUUUGGAAAAUCCAAAGCAAGAAGGCUUUGAAGAAGUCAAGAUCUGAUUAUAAUUCUAGGCUCGGUGCCAAUGGGAUAAAUUAUCUGGCAACUUUUUUUGCACAGUUAUUGAUUCUAUUUGUCUCUGACGCCAAGCGCCCAGCAUGGCACAAAGCCUCACAAAGUGCUCCGAAAAGGGUGUCAUCCCCACACCGUUGAUAAGGCUCAGAGUCUCUCCACGGCCAUAAUGCAACCCCCUCCUCCCCAGGGGGCUGUUGGCACCUCAACCCACUAAGGGAUCAGGAAGUAGAGUUUGCCAGUGAGGAGCCUGGAGACUUCAAGCCUGUUUGGCCUUGGUGUUCUUGUGAUUUAGUGCCCUGGACUGGCAGGUCUAGGGACUUUUUGCUCUAGACAAACUUUUUAAAUAGGCCAGGUGCAGUGGCUCAAACCUGUAAUCCCAGUGCUCUGGGAGGCUGAGGUGGGAGGGUUGCUUGAUCCCAGGAGUUUGAGGCUGCAGUCAGCCAUAAUCACACCACUGCAGCCCAGCCUGGGAGACAGAAGAAGACCUUGUUUCAAAAAAAAUUUUUUUAAUAAAUAUAAAUUUAAAAAAUAAAAAAUCCCAACACAUGCACACACAUACAUGCACACACAUACAUGCACACACACACAUGCACACACAUACAUAUAUAUGCAUGUGCAAAAGGUAUGCCCAAGCUAUACUCUCUUUAUUUGAGUUUUAAUUUACAGAAGUUUUCAACCUGGCCAGGCCUGGAAUCAUGGAGAAUGGGCUGGGAAUGGGUCUGCAGAGGUUCCCAAGGACAUGUUUGAAAAGCAUCCUCCACCUGGGAGAGCUGGGUCAGAAUUAGCACACUCUAGGAGAGUUGGGGAACAGCUAAGAGCGGGGCACACCAGCUCGACUAACUGAGCCUGAGCCAGUGGGAAAGUCCUCAUAGCAGUGGUCACUGGAGCACGAAACAGGGACAUGGCUGGCUGGGGCUCCUUCCUCCGCCCCUCCCCAAGCACAGGUGGGCAUGCCGUGGUGGGGCUGGGAAAAGGCCUAUGGCCAGGGAAGCGCAGGAUGACAACAAAGGAAUGGUCAAGGCCUAACAAACAGAAACAGCGAUGCAAAUUGCCUAGGAGAUGGAGCGGCAGUCACUGGAGCUGGCGUUGCCCAGACUUUGGUUGGCUUCAGGGUGACAGUUCAAGAAGGCAGCUCCUCCUGUGGGCCAGUGAGCUUGCUCCAAGAGCAGCCCUUUCCAGCUGACGCCCAGAGUGACCCAAAGGCUCUCCCGGAAAGUCCGGUUCUAAGACGAUACAGCUGCCCGUCAUGGAGCAACCUGCCCAAAACCACAGGGGGAAAAAAAUCCAAUAACCAAAUCCCGGUGACCACACCCUGUCUGCAGUUACUCAGAACUCACUGGCCAAGGUCCAGGGAGCAGACCGAGUCAGGCUGAAGUCUAUCCACAUUUAAUUUUCAAUUGAAAAUGGAAACAAGUCAAGCCAAGACAAACCCAGGGCCUGAUUUAACAGCAUCUACUGCCAUGGCAAAGACAUUGUCAUGUGGGGUGCCACAGAUCAGCCACCACCACCCCAGGGAAAGGUUGACACCACCACAUCCAGACACUUUUCACUCACCUUUCAUAUAGAAGCUCAUCCACUGCAUAGCAGCUCAAUGGUAUUGUUACUGUUAUGUUCUUUUUACAGGUGAGAAAACUGAGGCACAGGUUAAGUGACUCACUAAGCUCUCACUGUAAAUGGUGGGGCAGGUUUGAACCCAUGUGUCUGGCUCUUUGGUUCUACAUGCGUUAAUUCUGAUUAUAGUGAACGUCUGAAUGGCUAGAAAUAUUUGGAGAUUGUGCCCGGAUGACAGCUGCAGAGAAGUGACCGUGGCUGACCCUGGACAGCAGUGCUUGGUCUUGCUGGGAAUCGUCAGGUCCUCUGCCAGGCUUUCCUGGGGAGCACCAGGUGAAGUAUCAUGGAUUUGAGGUCCUCUGUACUGGAGGCAGGACGCAGACACCAAGAACACCUCCAGGCAGGUGCUGAUUCGCCGGCGGAACAUUUGCAAUGUGCUCACCCCUGUUGUGGGUAGGGGAUGUGGGAAUAUUUGCACUAUUGGGUUAUACAGGGCUCAGAGGGGAAGGCAUCGUGGAAAAGGAUUUGGCUUGAGGAAGGAACACAGGAGACAUGGCCAUGCCAUAAGAAGGAAGAUGCCUCCCUUUAGAUCAGGAUUUGACAUCAGAAAAGAAGAGAUCACUCCAGUGAAGGGCCAGGAGACCUGCCUCCCAGGGCAGAGAACUCCCCGCUCCAGCCCCUCCUGGGGGGACCCUCUCCAGCUGCAGACCCCAUGGUGGGUGAUCAGGGAUGUGAUACCUUAGAUGGGUCCCACAUCCCCUUCAGACGCUAAUGGUGUUUGGCUUUAGCCGACAAUGCUCCUCCAGGGUGUGGCCUCAUUUCCAAUGUCCAGCGUCCUGGAGUCUCGAGGUAGAACCUUGAGGACUACCCUUGUUGCCCAAUCUCAUGUUUCCCUCUAAGGGAAAGGCUCAUGUCCCCACUGCCAGGCAGCCUCUGACACAGGGGACUCUUGUAAGCAAGUCAACACACAGCAUGGAUGUGUGGAGGGACUCAGAGGUCUCUUGGUUGUGUCCCCUGUAUCGAAUCCCGCUUGCACAAGGAACUUGACUUCUCUGAACAUUUAUUUCCUCCUCUAAAAGAUGGCCACCAUUAGGCUGGGCACCUAUGUUAAGUAGAAUUUUAAAAGAUUGAUUUAGUGAAAUAUAUACAAUAAUAAUAGGCUUGGCCCAGGGUUUGCAGGGAGAGCGCGAGCUUUGGGAGGAUGCGACACAUUUUUGGGUAUUAGAAGAUGACAGCAGGCAGAAGCAAGAUACCCUAGAGGAUAGGCCAGGAGGUCCCCUCUGAAGUCUGCCUGUCUGGAGACUUGCAAGGCAAGAAGCAGGUGAACGAGAAACAGGUGAAGGUGGAAACAGCUCUCCCCUCCUGGCGACUCCUCUCCUGGGGUAGCCGGUGCUCCUGGGUGUGUGUUGAGCCUACUGCGUAGAACUUGGUCUGAUCAGAUACAAAGGGAGAAGCAGGAGUGACAGGCACAGUGGAAAGCUGAGCACCCCACAGACCUGAAUUUGUAUCUUUGUUUAGAUGCUCACCAGCCAUGGACCUUCAGACAAAUUCUGACUUCCCAUCUGCAAAGUGGGGUCAAGAGUCCUUAGAAUGUUUGAGUGAAGAACACAAGAUAGAAUGCAUUAAAUGCCUGGCACACAAUCCAUCCAUUCAUCCUUGGGUUUUCCCUCUUUUUUUCAUACUUAUUUCUAUUUGUAUUUUUUAGAAAUAGUGUCUUGCUCUGUUGCCCGGCUGGAGUGCAGUGGCGAGAUCAUAGCUCAAUGCAGCCUUGACCUCCUGGGCUCAAGCAAUUCUCCCACCUCAGUGAGGGGGUCCAUGUGUGUUCCAGCAUGUGUGCAUGUUUUGGAGGAGAACCUUUCAAGAGGUUAAGAGCCACUGCUCUGAAAACAACUUUUCCCUCAAAGACCACCACAGUCAGGCAUGUAGUAUGUCUUGGGGGUGGUCCCGGUAUAGCAGUACCUGGGGGUACAUGAGUGUGCAAAAGUGGUGGCAUUUGUGGCGGCAUGAGAACACACCAAGUUGGGCUAAACCUUACUUUUACAAGUAAUAUGCACCAGGCUCUUGUUACCAAGCACUUUUGGAGCACUAUCUUCCUGUGUGCUAAUAUAUCCAAACACUGGCCAUCGCAGAUAUUUUUGUUAAUAGAUCUAUUAUGCAGGCGGAGGCCUUGACAAUCAGAGAUUUUGUGGCUAGUCCAAGAUUGCUCAGCUGGUAGCCUGGUGGCCUGUUAUGCAGAACCCCUGCCUUCAGGUGACACUUGGUCCCACAGGCUUGGUGAGGGGCCUCCAGUCUGAGCUACUCACUCAGUUGGUGGAGGUGACAGAAAGGAGUCCACGACAAGGAUUCUACAGCUUCCCUGGCUGGAGGAACACCUGGUUUCCUCCAGGUCUCCCACUAUUCUCUCUUGCUCUUCUCUUAGACCAGAUACUGGUGUCAGUGUCUUAUUUAAAAAUUGCUCCUUUGAAUAAACAUUCUGGGUCCUUGGCCAGAAGGCAACAAGUGCAAACUUGGUAAUGGCUCAGUGCCCACCAUCCUCCUGAACUCCCCACACCACACAACAGAGUCCUUUCUAUCCAAGCAGUAAUCACAGAAGGAAAUUGGUUUGCUCGAAGAGAGAAAAGGUCUCUGAUGUGAAAGGCAAUGGGAAAAACAGGACCAUGAGAUGAAUCGAUCUCUGGAUGGCCUCAAAGCUAACGUGCUUGAGGGGAGCAGGAUUGGGAAUGGUAAGCUACCAGGACAAUGUGGAGAAGGAAGAGAAGGGAGAAGGAUGGAAAGUAGGGAGAAGCAGAAGUUUAAAAGUGGUUGCUCUCUGCUGGGAGAGCCUGCCAAGCUGGAAGCACAGAUCCCCCAGACCCUGGACAUUGGAGUUCCUUCCUCUGGGGAGCAAUGGGCAGGCGUAUGCUGCUGACCUUGUUCUCAUGACCUGCAUGCCCACAGCCAAUGUGUUGUUGAUGGAAUCUGAAAGGCUGGCACUGGAAGAUGCUUAGUGAACGGUGACAUGGCCCAUUUCAGAGACAAGAUUGAAUUGAGCCCUUUAAAGCAAUGGAAGGGAAUGCUGGACUGGGAGAGCCCCAGGAGGUAGAGACCACAUCUUAUUCAUCUUUUUAUUUUCAGGGUCUACCUCUGGUAUGUAAAUUGAUGGAUGGAUGGAUGGAUGGACGAUGGGGCAAAUUGAUGAGUGGAUGGAUGGAUGGAUGGAUGGAUGGAUUUGUAGAUGUGUGGGUGGAUAGAUGGAUGGGUAGAUAGGUGGGUGGAUGGAUAGAUGGAUUAAUGGACAGGUAAAUAGGUGGGUGGGUAAAUGGGUGGAUGGAUGAAUUAUGUGGUAAUUUGGUGUGUGGAUGGAUGGAUGGUUGAAUGGAUGGAUGGGUAGGUGGAUGAAUUAUGUGGUUUGGUGGGUGGAUGGAUGGAUGGAUGGAUGAGUGGGUAGAUGGAUGGAAGGUUAGAUGGGUGGAUGGAGGAAUGGAUGGAUGGAUAGAUGGAUGGCUGGUUGGAUGAAUGGACUGGUAGGUGAAUGCAUGAAUGGAUGGAUUUUUUAAAAAGGAAGUCAAGGGUAGAUUCACUUCUGAUGUACUCUAGGCCUCUUUCCUCAAGUAUCAAGUAAGGCAGGUCAAUUUAAUUAUCUCUAAGACCACUCCAUGCUUUGUCAUUUCAUAUUUUUAUGGUCUCAUGAUUCUAAGCUGCCCAGGACCCAGGGCUGAUUUAUGGGGCAAAAGAAGUAAGUGUCAAAGUAUCUGUCACCACUUAGCACCAAGGAGGUAAGAUUCCUUAAAAAAAAAAAAUCAGAUAGAGCAAAAGAGUACUGUCUUCUGAGACCGCAAAGAGGCUGAUGGCACUUCUAUUCAUGCACCCAAAGGUUCUAGGGCCUGAAGUGGCCCCCCACCCUCUCUAGCCCCCCUGUGAAGAAAGAUGCUGGUUUGGGGCAGCACAACACCUGCAGAGAUGCUAACGCUGUUCUCCUGCCCUCACAUAAAAAAUGCCAGUCCCAGUCAACAAGGAAAGAUCCUGACACUUUUAUCAGCAUUAGAAGCAGUUCCCCAAAGGUUGAUGCUCAGUGAAGCCCCAGGAUCCAUGAUCUCAGAGGUACUUACAGAAAUUUUCACCAAGUGGAGCAAACAUAAUUUUAAAAUAAAUAAAUAACAUGUCAUUAUACCCUAAAAUGAUUUCUAGGUAAUCCUUAAACACAGCCUUUAAACUAUAUAUUUAGCAAAAAGGAGAUGGAACUAAAAUGGUUUGAGUGCUGUGUAGUUUGGGUCUUCCAGAAACAGAUACCAAGAUGGGAUUAGACACCUGAGGGAUUUCUUGGGAGACACGGUCUGGAAGGGGCCAAGAAGGUGGGAGAACCCUCAAGCUAUGGUGCAGGUCUGGCCCUGUGAAGGUCAGAGGGAAGGAGGAGGAGGAAAGGAAGGAAGCUUGUCUAGACACUGCAGCACAGCUCCAAGAAAGUUCUAGCAAGGCUCAGGGAGAGUCCUUGAGCCACAACUGUCUGUCAGAGAAAUCCCACAUCUCUCUGGAAUGGGCCUGUCUUCGCAUCCCUGUAGGGCCCAGUCACCACCUGGGAGCAGCUGUGGUAAGUGUGACCUCCAAGCAAACCCACUAGUGGAUCCAAAGGACCAGUAGAUGGGCUCAUCCUCCACCCGGGAAGCACACUUUCACAGCUGCCAUGAGUACUCUGUAUGGGGCCAGAGACUUCCUAAAUGUCUCCUUCAAUCCUCACCUAUUGCUGUUGCACAUUGGUAUUACUAGCCCAUUUUGCAGAUGAAGAAACUACAUUUCAGAAAAGUUAAAGUACUCAGGGAUUGUAAAUGACCAAGCCAGGACUUAACUCUCUAUAACUGGCUCCCAAGGCCCUGCUCAUCACAUCCCAGUCUCCCUGGUCACCAGAGCCCUGUACUGAGAAGAGGAGUCUGGGGUUAGCUUUUGAGAGAUGGCAGAGUGAGGUCAGAGUGUUGAAUGUAGGGAGCAAGAAGCAGAGGAAAUGAAGAGAAAUGCUCUCUGGGUUAGAGGAUGGAGGUGACACAUUGACCAGCAGAUGCGGGCAGCUCAAGCAUCCCCACCUCACAGCCGUCUUGGGUGAAGCCUCUUGCCCUCUCCUGAUUCAAUACUUAAAUAAGGACCAUCCAGGCAUCGUGAGAACCAUGGCAGGGAGAGGUGCUCAUAUGUGGUUCCUGGGAUGAGAAGGAACGCAAGCUCUAAAUCUGUGCUGUUUGCAAACUAGAGAAGGCGGCUGGCCUUCUGAGGAUAGCCUUUUUCCUGGGCUACAGCCUGCCCGAGGGCCAAAUUUCCUUCCCUGGUCUUGCAAUGAUGGAUGGAAGGACACUGUGCACUCAGUUGUCCCUCCAUGAUGAUCAGAUGGUAAACACGGCUGCUGAGCAGUGUGGUCUUGCUCUCCCUGCUCUCACCAGCCUAUGCUCGCAAAGGCAGAGAAUUGCUCUUUAGAUUUAGGGGAAGUGGGAAAGGCAGGAAGAAGGAAGAGCUGUUCGCUUCCUCCAUCCAUGCAGAGAGAGAUGUUCACAUGGAGGCCAUGACAUCAAAUUGUGAAUGCCACACAUUUUCAGGGGAUUAAUUGACCUCAAUUUAGGAGCAAUAAGAUUCUUCAGACUGAAGCAACUUGAAAGGCACUUUUACAGGUACCUGUAGAAAUUUUUAAUGGAACAAUCAAUGAGCUGUGAUUCUUGCCACAUUUGCUGUCACACUGCCUCCAAGGAUUAAACCUUGGGGUGACCAGCCACCCCCGCAACUCUAAUGAGAUGGGAAAGAGCCAAAAAAGAGACCUUUCAACCCAAGCCCUGCUCUGCAUCACAGGCAGCUUUUAUCUCCAUAAUUAGAGGGCUCGUCAUGCUUUUAAAUAAACUACUGGAGCCCAGGCUGGGCACUCAGAGGGGAGCUGACUGUGGGGAGUCAACAGUGGGGAGUGUGGAGGAGUGGGAUCUCACAGCCUGUCCCUGGGACGGUGGGAAGUGAGGUAUCCUGGGAAACAGAGGCCUUCCACAGAAGCUUCUUUCCAGAUAGGGAAAGGUGUGUGGACUUCGGCAAGUCACUGAUUUUGUGGACAUUACGGGAAAUUACUGCAUUUUUCAUUUAUCCUUAAAUGUAAACAAGUAACAUGGAGGUUCCAGAUGCAUUUUUUUUUUCCUUUUAGGAGACAAAACCAGAACUCUUUAAAUCCUCUUUCUUAAACAUAGGAAUAGAUAUUCAAAUUCGAUUACACUGAGAUUGGGAGAAAAAUGCAGAGUUGGGUAACUCACUCUUUGGUGGAGGCUGUGGGACUCUUGUGUACCGCCAGUGAGCAUGUGAAUUGGCACAACCCCUGCAGAAAGAAACAGAGUGAUCAUUAACAAAACUACAAAUCCACAUGCCCUCUGACCCAGUCAUUCAUCUUCUGGGAAUUUGUGCUGCCGAGACACUUUUAAGAUGACAUGUGUGUGAGAUAAUUCAUGGCAGCUUUGCUGGUGAUGGCAAAUACUUGGAAACAAACCUAGAUGUCCAUCAAGAAAGGAUUAGUUAAAUAAAGCAUGCUAGAUUCAAACAACUACUAUGCGGCUUUAAAAAGGAAUGAGGAAGCUCUCUGUGUACUGAUGGGGACAGAAGUUCCAGGACAUUUUGUAAGGUGGCUGAAAAACAAGGUCUAUAAAAUGAUACAGGCAGUGGAAAUGGGUCACAGAGAAUUUACGGUUACAAUGUGAAAACGUCAACCCAACGCCAUGGUCUACUUCGUGCUUGGAAGCAAAGCCUGGCCUGGAUGCGGUAUGCACUCAUGACUCAACCUUCUGUUGUCACUUGCUGUUUUUGGAUUCUUCCAAGUUCAGAGUCAACACAAAACUCUUCCUUUAAAAGAACAGCUUGGCCCCAGGAGGCUGCUGAGUGACAUGUCAAGCUGUCCUGAGAGCACACUUGUUUCCCAACCACCUGAGUCAUGACAAAUUGCUUGAGGCUUGUACCAGAGUAAAGUCUGAAAAUAGUUCUUCUCGCCCUCCCUACCAGACAGAUGCUUCCAGAAUCAAUCACCGAAUGGUGGAUCUACAGCCAACCACCCAUUCUCUUCAGUCACUGAGAUGAUAUGAUGCUGCUGGUCCAAGGACUACAUUUCGAGAACCCCAACCACGCAUGGAUUGUUGUCAACUAUGAAUCACAAGAUUUCCAGGGUUUUGUCUGCUGCCUUCCCUGCAAGCCCUGCCAUCCACUGAGACCCAACCUCAGCCAUUCUUGGCACAUCAGCCCAUGAGAAGUCUGCCACUCUUUCUUCCUAAGCAAAGCAGCAUCCUUCAGGGCCUGGAGCUCCUGGACACAAAAGCCAUUUUUGGGAGAAAAAUGUGGAUAAAGUCACUCCUGGGCCACCUGUCUGUGAGGCUGUAUGGAAGCUGCCUACUGGUUUGAGGAGAGGCUGCUGGGUUCUUUCCUUUACUAAGGAUUUGCUUAAGUCAGCCCUCCAGGAUCCAAAAAAGAGCCAGAAAAAAGCCAGCAAAACAGCUGAGGCACAGACUAGAUGGUAGUCCAAGGACCAAGACCUGGCCAGCCAGAGGGACCAGGUGUCCAGACCCCGGACUGUUUUCAAUACAGUUAUACAAUGAAAUCAAAUAAAUGGAUGUAUUGAUUGCUUGGCAAUUAAUGGGGGAACAAUUAAUUUGGCCAUAGGAUAGGGGCUCAUCCCCAUGGACGCUUGAGUGUCCAGCAGUGAUCUCUGUGCUC